rnacentral:rRNA from 1 species
UACAGAGGGGGCAAGCGUUGUUCGGAAUUACUGGGCGUAAAGGGCGCGUAGGCGGCCUUCUAAGUCGAACGUGAAAUCCCCGGACUCAACCCGGGAACUGCGUCCGAUACUGGUUGGCUUGAAUCCGGGAGAGGGGAUGUGGAAUUCCAGGUGUAGCGGUGAAAUGCGCAGAUAUCAGGAGGAACACCGGUGGCGAAGGCGGAUCUCUGGGCCAUUACUGACGCUGAGGAGCGAAAGCGUGGGGGAGCGAACAGG